UACGUAGGUGGCGAGCGUUGUCCGGAUUUACUGGGCGUAAAGGGAGCGUAGGCGGAUUUUUAAGUGAGAUGUGAAAUACUCGGGCUCAACUUGAGUGCUGCAUUUCAAACUGGAAGUCUAGAGUGCAGGAGAGGAGAAUGGAAUUCCUAGUGUAGCGGUGAAACGCGUAGAGAUUAGGAAGAACACCAGUGGCGAAGGCGAUUCUCUGGACUGUAACUGACGCUGAGGCUCGAAAGCGUGGGGAGCAAACAGG
rnacentral:rRNA from 1 species